GACGAACGCUGGCGGCGUGCUUAACACAUGCAAGUCGAACGAAGAGCGAUGGAAGCUUGCCUCUCUCAAUCUUAGUGGCGAACGGGUGAGUAACGCGUAAUCAACCUGCCCUUCAGAGGGGGACAACAGUUGGAAACGACUGCUAAUACCGCAUACGAUCUAAUCUCGGCAUCGAGGAAAGAUGAAAGGUGGCCUCUAUUUAUAAGCUAUCACUGAAGGAGGGGAUUGCGUCUGAUUAGCUAGUUGGAGGGGUAACGGCCCACCAAGGCGAUGAUCAGUAGCCGGUCUGAGAGGAUGAACGGCCACAUUGGGACUGAGACACGGCCCAGACUCCUACGGGAGGCAGCAGUGGGGAAUCUUCCGCAAUAGACGAAAGUCUGACGGAGCAACGCCGCGUGAGUGAUGACGGCCUUCGGGUUGUAAAGCUCUGUUAAUCGGGACGAAAGGCCUUCUUGCGAACAGUUAGAAGGAUUGACGGUACCGGAAUAGAAAGCCACGGCUAACUACGUG
rnacentral:rRNA from 1 species